rnacentral:tRNA from 1 species
UAAGAUGGGUGAAUAAGCGGUGGAUUGUAGCUCCACAGAUAAAGGUUAAAAUCCUUUUCUUAU